rnacentral:rRNA from 1 species
UGGAUAACCAUGGUAAUUCUAUGGCUAAUACAUGCGCACUCGCCUCCUUCUCUGGAGGGGCUGUGUUUAUUAGAUACAAAACCAACCCACUUUGUGGAGUCCUGGUGAUUCAUAGUAACCGAACGGAUCGCAGUUGGCUUCGGCCCGCGAUGGAUCUUUCAAGUUUCUGACCUAUCAGCUUUCGACGGUAGGGUAUUGGCCUACCGUGGCAGUGACGGGUAACGGGGAAUUAGGGUUCGAUUCCGGAGAGGGAGCCUGAGAAACGGCUACCACAUCUAAGGAAGGCAGCAGGCGCGCAAAUUACCCAAUGAAAACAGUUUCGAGGUAGUGACGAGAAAUAACAAUACAGGGCAUUUUAUGCUCUGUAAUUGGAAUGAUGGGAAUGUAAAACCCUUCCAGAGUAACAAUUGGAGGGCAAGUCUGGUGCCAGCAGCCGCGGUAAUUCCAGCUCCAAUAGUGUAUAUUAGAGUUGUUGCAGUUAAAAAGCUCGUAGUUGGAUUUCUGUCGUGGUCAUCCGGCUCCGCCCGUAUGGGUGUGCGCCUGGUUUGCCCUCGGCUUUCUUCCGGUAGCCUUCCGCGCUUCACUGCGUGUGUUGGUGUUCCGGAACUUUUACUUUGAGAAAAAUAGAGUGUUUCAAGCAGGCUUGUCGCCCUGAAUACUUCAGCAUGGAAUAAUAAGAUAGGACCUUGGUUCUAUUUUGUUGGUUUCUAGGACCAAGGUAAUGGUUAAUAGGGACAGUUGGGGGCAUUCGUAUUUAACUGUCAGAGGUGAAAUUCUUAGAUUUGUUAAAGACGAACUACUGCGAAAGCAUUUGCCAAGGAUGUUUUCAUUAAUCAAGAACGACAGUAGGGGGUUUGAAGACGAUUAGAUACCGUCGUAAUCUCUACCAUAAACUAUGCCGACUAGAGAUAGGGAAACGCCUACCUUGGCUUCUCCUGCACCUCAUGAGAAAUCAAAGUCUCUGGGUUCUGGGGGGG